rnacentral:rRNA from 1 species
GACGAACGCUGGCGGCGUGCUUAACACAUGCAAGUCGAACGGAAAGGCCCUGCUUUUGUGGGGUGCUCGAGUGGCGAACGGGUGAGUAACACGUGAGUAACCUGCCCUUGACUUUGGGAUAACUUCAGGAAACUGGGGCUAAUACCGGAUAGGAGCUCCUGCUCCAUGGUGGGGGUUGGAAAGUUUCGGCGGUUGGGGAUGGACUCGCGGCUUAUCAGCUUGUUGGUGGGGUAGUGGCUUACCAAGGCUUUGACGGGUAGCCGGCCUGAGAGGGUGACCGGCGACAAUGGGCCUGAGAUACGGACCAGACGCCUACGUGAGGCAGCAGUGGGGAGUAUGGCACAGUGGGCGGACGCCUGAUGCAGCGACGCUGCGUGCGGGAUGACGUCCUUCGGGUUGUAAACCGCUUUCGCCUGUGGCGAAGCGUGAGUGACGGUAAUGGGUAAAGAAGCACCGGCUAACUACGUG